ACGCUCGACACCUACGGGAGCAGCAGUGGGGAAUAUUGCACAAUGGGGGAAACCCUGAUGCAGCGACGCCGCGUGAGCGAAGAAGUAUUUCGGUAUGUAAAGCUCUAUCAGCAGGGAAGAAAAUGACGGUACCUGACUAAGAAGCCCCGGCUAACUACGUGCCCGCAGCCGCGGUAAUCUGAGCGGGCUGGCAAGGC
rnacentral:rRNA from 1 species